ACUCUGAGCAGUGGAUCACUCGGCUCACGGGUCGAUGAAGAACGCAGCUUGCUGCGAUAAUUGGUGUGAAUUGCAGGUCAAAAUGA
rnacentral:rRNA from 1 species